GGUACAUUAUGGCUCAGUAGAUUGCUGUCUCACUAUUUCAUUGCUUCAAAGUGAUGGUGCUGGGAACUGUCAACUCUGAAGACAAGGUGCGGGUGCCAGAGACAUACCGGAGCAGAAGCCAGAAGGUUCAUCUUCCAACCCACCCCAGCCCGGAGGAGCUGUGGCAAAGCAAUCCUGUACCACGAUUACAAGCCCCCAAGACCUAACCCUCACCCCAGCCUUGCUGGGAGCGGUAAGCACCCUGGCGUGCCCAUGGUAAAAACAAACUCCUGCGAGCCAAAAAAUGCCUGUUCAGUUUUAAAAAUCUUCUCUGACUUUGACGGGCUCUUGACCAGCAGGUGACACAUCCUCGGGCCUAUGAACCCCCGAGGGUGUUGUUUUCCCAUGAGCGGUUGCUUUCUGAGGAGCUUCAGUAGCGUCUGUGCCCAAGGGGGCUCUGGGGACAGGCAGGGGCGUGCUCCUGCAGGCUCCGUUGUGCCACGCUCCCUCCCGCCAGCCUGCAGGUAGGCUCUCCUGUUCACAGAGAGGCUUGUGGUGCUCCUAUGAGGGCCACAUCCAGCUCCAAGGUUGCGGUCAAUCAAGCCCACGUGGUGAAGCUGAACAAUUUAAUCGGUGCCUGAUGAAGCCUUGGAUGUAUCUGUGGUAUAUCAAAUUGUCUUCAAAUCUAAAGCAGUCGUCAGAGACUGGACGGGGGGAACUAACAACGCAGUGAUAGUUCCUGCCCUGAUCCUGAGAGAAGUGCUGUGUAGUUGCAUCGCAGUACAGCCACAGGAGCACAGCAGCCUGUGCUGGCGUGUGGCCAUUUCAAGGACAAGGUGAGGCUCCUGUUCCCAGCACGCUCUCGUACUGUUUUCUAACCAGAUUACAGUGUAGCAACCCUUGCCACGAACGCUUUUUGUCUGCUUGGUGAGAAGGCUGGGACUCUCCGUUCAAGGACGCUAUCAGGAAACGUGCUCCAUGCUUCAUGGCCUGCCCAGUCUGCUGCUUUAUCUACAGAUGUAGACGAAGAUGGUGUAGAAGAACCGUGGGGUUUUUUUGGUUAAGAUGUUACGUCUUGGGACCUGGUUAUUUUAGAAAGUUUCAUUCCACAUCCAAGUUAAUACAAAGAUUCUGAUGAGUUGAAGUACAGAAAAUGGUAUCCCCGUCCUGCCUGAUGUCUUCUUGGUCAAGCCUAGGCUGUAUUUAUUGCUUCCCAAAUGGUAGCUGGGUUUGCUGGGUUUUAAGGUCUUCCCUGGGGUGACAGUACUGACUUGUCCACGCUGCAAUCGGCAAGUAGUGUGGAAGUUACUUGCUUUGUGAAUAAUAUGGUAAUUUUUUU